CCUACGGGAGGCUGCAGUGAGGAAUAUUGGUCAAUGGGCGCGAGCCUGAACCAGCCAAGUAGCGUGAAGGAUGACUGCCCUACGGGUUGUAAACUUCUUUUAUAAAGGAAUAAAGUGAGGCACGUGUGCCUUUUUGUAUGUACUUUAUGAAUAAGGAUCGGCUAACUCAUUGCCAGCAGCCGCGGUAAUACGGAGGAUCCGAGCGUUAUACGGAUUUAUUGUGUUUAAAGGGAGCGUAGAUGGGUUGUUAAGUCAGUUGUGAAAGUUUUCGGUUCAACCGUAAAAUUGCAAUUGAUACUGGCAGUCUUGAGUACAGUUGAGGUAGGCGGAAUUCGUGGUGUAGCGGUGAAAUGCUUAGAUAUCACGAAGAACUCCGAUUGCGAAGGCAGCUUACUAAACUGCCACUGACAUUGAUGCUCGAAAGUGUGGGUAUCAAACAGGAUUAGAUACCCCAGUAGUC
rnacentral:rRNA from 1 species